rnacentral:lncRNA from 1 species
AGCAGCGCUGUUCACCUCGGAAGGGUCUGGUCUCGGGAUGCAGGAGAUGAAAGGUCUGUGGUUCGCUUGGCACUUCAGACUCUUGCUUACUGCCUCUGAUUUUCUGGCACCUGAAGGUACAGAACUUCACUGAUGUCAGGGAUACCACUGCUUGAACUUUGCUGUUUGCCUGGAUAAGGGGUGCCACGCUCUGGACACCAAGGAAAGUCCCCUGGAAAACAAGAAAGCCUGUUUAACUGAAGCCUUUCCUGUUAAAAAUAUGCUUUCUGAUUGAUGUUUGUCAGUGGGAAGAAAGCUUCCUUUGAACACUCUUAUCCUGCUCUGAUCCUGCAGAUGUCUCUUAAUAUACUCCUGAUUCACCAAGAACAAGAAAAGGAGAAGCAUAAACAACCUCUGAACACCACUGUACUCAGAGAGCAGAUUUCUUACUCUGUGGUAACUGGUUUGUACCACAGGCUUUCAAAUCUAGGGUGUUUUCCAUGCAUUUCUUUUGCAUGACUGUCAUGAACUGACCCCAUUUUUAUUCUGGGGACUGUUCCUCCACAGCUGUUGAGUCAGCACUACUGUAGUAGUAGUACCCAUGUCUGCUGUCUAUGUCACUGUGUAAUACAUUACUUGCCACGGAACUCACAAGGCAAUGCUUUCACCAAUAAGCAGCUAAUUGCCUGGAAUGCAAUUGGAAACUUCUUUAAAUUCAAACAAUUAAAUUCAAACAAAAAUUGUAUGUUCUCAGAGAAAAAAUUUCAUGAGAGGAAACCACUUUGAGGCUCUUUAGAUAUGUAUAGAGAUAUUGCUCUAGUAACCUUAUGGAGGAUUGAACCCAAAUUGCGGUGCAGACUCAGAGAUGCAAAGACUUGCUAAAUAAAUCAGAGGCUGGAUUUAUCUGCUCA